AUUGAACGCUGGCGGCAUGCUUUACACAUGCCAGUCGAACGGCAGCGGGGAGGAGCUUGCUUCUCUGCCGGCGAGUGGCGAACGGGUGAGUAAUACAUCGGAACGUGUCGAGAAGAGGGGGAUAACCACCCGAAAGGGUGGCUAAUACCGCAUAAAUUCUGAGGAAGAAAGCUGGGGACCUAGGAAUAGGCCUAGCGCUUUUUGAGCGGCCGAUGUCGGAUUAGCUAGUUGGUGAGGUAAAGGCUCACCAAGGCGAAGAUCUGUAGCGGGUCUGAGAGGAUGAUCCGCCACACUGGGACUGAGACACGGCCCAGACUCCUACGGGAGGCAGCAGUGGGGAAUUUUGGACAAUGGGGGCAACCCUGAUCCAGCCAUGCCGCGUGUAUGAAGAAGGCCUUAGGGUUGUAAAGUACUUUUGUUAGGGAAGAAAAGUCAGCUGUGAAUAAUGGCUGAUACUGACGGUACCUAAAGAAUAAGCACCGGCUAACUACGU
rnacentral:rRNA from 1 species